UACGGAGGGUGCAAGCGUUAAUCGGAUUUAUUGGGCGUAAAGGGGGCGUAGGCGGAAAAGCAAGCCAGAUGUGAAAGCCCGGGGCUCAACCCCGGAACGGCAUUUGGAACUACUUUCCUUGAGGAUAGGCGGAGAAAACGGAAUUCCACAAGUAGCGGUGAAAUGCGUAGAUAUGUGGAAGAACACCGGUGGCGAAAGCGGUUUUCUAGCUUAUUCCUGACGCUAAGGCCCGAAAGCUAGGGGAGCAAACAGG
rnacentral:rRNA from 1 species